GCAAGAUAAUGAUCUCUCUCAGCAAUAAUCUUCGUGUGCUCUUCCUCCUUAACUUUCAGCUUUACUUCCCACUCGGUGGUAAGGACUUUGGCUUUAACUUCUCUCUGAUUCUUCACAAGGACUUGUCUCCUCUUCUCAUCUUCAAUGACGUUCAACGCUCUAGCCAACUUCUCCUUGGUAAUGUCGUGCUCCUUCAUAGAUGACUCUAAAGCUUGGCUGAUCUUGCAAUAAUAAGCGGU
rnacentral:lncRNA from 1 species